CGUAUUUUACGUGGUUUGUCAGGUAUGACAAAAGUAACGGACAGUAUUCCCUUUUUCGAAAUAAGACAGGCAUACCGCUUUGAACAAGUACAGGUCCGAGUCGUACACCGGCUUCGAGAGGCCGCUUGGCUGCGACCGCUUCGAUCUCCGGACGCACUUCCAGCUCAGGUGGCGGAUCACACAUCCUCACACCUGAAACGAAGUGGUAUCUGUACUGCCACAAGACAUCAUGGGCUCGACCGUACAGGUAAAGGUGCAAUGGUGACAACGAAAGUUCGGGAAAAUCUAUACUCCGAGAAAACUCAGAGAGGUGUACCUCCGCAAGGCAUACCAGACGGGUAAGCCGGUUCAGGUACGUCGUCUGCAACGGGCGUUUUCGCAACAUGAUCGGUGUAGAAGCAACAUUUUGGAGUAUGCGCGGGUGCACUAUGUUGUGACUCGGAGGCGUUAUGCGCCUGUCCCUGUCCACCUGUCCCGAAGUAUAGUCCACUCAAAUUUUCUAAUUUAUACGAUAUUGUAGGGUCAUCCUUUCUCACAUUUCUCUGGUUUCUAUAAAGGUAUAAUGCCGGAAUGCGAGGAAAACAUGCGGUCCCACCAAACUACUGCCCUCAAAGCUGGAGAAAACAACAAAGAAAUGAUGGGAAAACAAGAGUAUGCCGCAGGUUGCUCCACGGAGCGGCCAUCUGCAGGGAACACAAUUUUCGGCCAACGUUAUCUGACAAUAUUAGUCCCAAAUUCAUCUCAAAUAUAUGCGUUACCAUCAGUGUUUAUAGUGUCAAUCUAAAUAUACUUGGUUUAUAUUUGUUUAGGUUGUGGCAGCAGCACGUGUGUCCCGGGUAAAAGGAUCACCACCGUCCCAGGAAAAAGUGUCCGAUCACUCGAUUAGCUCGGACAGUGCUCCCAGUCUGUGCGCCGAUUCAAAGAGCCAUUACCGCGGCACGAAGAAAGCUGGCAGAAAAGGCAUCAUAUUGAAGAAAAUAUCUAGUAUUUUGUUUAAUCGAUAGAUUGGUGCUGUCACGUCCAUGAUACCAUCGUCACAUUGCUUUACAAUGGGUACAUCACACCGAACGAAGAAAGCGCCUGACUAAGUAUUAUAUAUGACGAGAGAUAUCCGCCUCUAUAAACGAGGCCUUUGACGGAACCCCUCGGCAACGCGGUUGUUAUCUCUGUUAUCGGGUAGACGCUUGUCUCCGUUAUCAGUCUACUUCCGUCUCGAGGACCACUUUUUGCGCGUGUGAGGGCACGUUCAAGAUACCCGGCUGGCCACUUAAUGCAACUGUUUUGGGUAAGAUCAGCGAGCACAAAUUUUUCUAUGUGCGGAAACUGAUGACCUUCAUCCACCGUUUGCGCCCCCUAAAAUCGGAGUAUCCCAGGAUGAAAUCUGUCCACUUAUUAUCAGACGGUACAUGCUGAAGCGCAUCCACUUUCCAGUUAUAAUGAGUAGACGCAAAGGAUGUCAACGAGAAAUAACAGCACUUGGCAGGCAACGAUACGGCUCCCCUGCCAACAAGGAGCGGAAGCGACCGAGAGGAAGCACCUCGCCCUGUACACUUGAAAGGACGCCCCGCAAUGCAAACAACCGGAAACUCCUUUAGUCUCUCCUCAUGCCAUGGAAUGCCAGUCGGGGACACAAAUCGCAAAGUAUCGUUAUUGAAAAAUAAAAGGUGACAGAAGUAA